AACGAACGCUGGCGGCAGGCCUAACACAUGCAAGUCGAGCGGACCCUUCGGGGUUAGCGGCGGACGGGUGGGUAACGCGUGGGAAUAUGCCCUUCUCUACGGAAUAGUCCUGGGAAACUGGGGGUAAUACCGUAUACGCCCUUUGGGGGAAAGAUUUAUCGGGGAAGGAUUAGCCCGCGUUGGAUUAGGUAGUUGGUGGGGUAAUGGCCUACCAAGCCGACGAUCCAUAGCUGGUUUGAGAGGAUGAUCAGCCACACUGGGACUGAGACACGGCCCAGACUCCUACGGGAGGCAGCAGUGGGGAAUCUUAGACAAUGGGGGCAACCCUGAUCUAGCCAUGCCGCGUGAGCGAUGAAGGCCUUAGGGUUGUAAAGCUCUUUCAGCUGGGAAGAUAAUGACGGUACCAGCAGAAGGAGCCCCGGCUAACUCCGUGCCAGCCGCCGCUGUAAAAC
rnacentral:rRNA from 1 species